AUGGAAUCACAGACCCAGGUCCUCAUGUUCCUGCUGCUCUGGGUGUCUGGUGCCUGUGCAGACACUGUGAUGACCCAGUCUCCAUCCUCUCUGGCUGUGUCAGCAGGAGAGAAGGUCACCAUCAGCUGCAAGUCCAGUCAGAGUCUUUUAUACAGUGAAAACCAGAAGAGCUACUUGAACUGGUACCAGCAGAAACCAGGGCAGACUCCUAAACUUCUAAUCUACUUAGCAUCCACUCAGGCAACUGAGAUCCCUGAUCGCUUCAUAGGCAGUGGGUCUGGGACAGAUUUCACUCUCACCAUCAGCAAUGUCCAGGCUGAAGAUGCAGGAGAUUACUUCUGUCAGCAGAAUUAUUAUACUCCUUGCACAGUGCUUCAGCCUCGAACAAAAACCUCCUCUGAGAGUCUCACCAGCUGCCUUUACCACACACAGCCCUGGACCUGCACACUUCCCCCUUCUACCAAGAGCUGGUGUGCCUGA